GCGUGCGUUAGGGUUUACCACUUACUUAUUCGCAGCAGCCCCCGAUCUCACAAUCAAAAGAAGCCGCCGCCGCCGCCGCCGCUGGUGCGAUACGAUCGUCGGAGCAGCCGACUGCUCUUCCGCCCCUCGAGAUCUGAGCAGUGCGCUGCGGAGCCGGCGUUCAUCCACGCCAGAUCUCGACUUGGUGCGCUGCGGAGCCGGCGUUCAUCCACGCCAGAUCUCGACUUGGUGCGCUGCGGAGCCGGCGUUCAUCCACGCCAGAUCUCAACUUAGUGCGCUGCGGAGCCGGCGUCCCCUUUGCUGGAGAUGCGUCCCCAGCAUCCCCCGCGUCCCCCGCUGGCAAUCCCUCAAGUCAUCCGACGUAAAAGAGGCAGAAGAAGUGCAAAGGAUGUGGUUGCACGACCAUUUAGGUGCACGAGAUAUGGUUGGUGGAAUCCAAUCAUGAAGCACACGUUUUUUGACGUACCUGCUCUAGAGUGCAAGUGCUGUAAAGAAAAGUGUCCACUGGAUUUCGAUUUUAACUUAUGUGGAAUUACCGUCAACCUUCACAAGAUUUUUGGACAUAUAUUGGAUCAAGGCAAUAGCGAGCUGUGCGAAGCAUUUGCUUUUGCCAAAAUCAUGGAGAUGCGAAAAAAAUUCAGUACUUGAUGCUAGCUAAGGACCCUACAUUAAUCAGGUCAUUGAAUCCGUUCCACUUAUUUGAUCAAUACAAAAUUAUGCUUGGAGGAGUUCCAGCUACCGGUGGAACGGAUCAAACCAUCUUAAUGGCAAUGGCUCUUAAAGAGCUAGGAAUUAUGGAUAAUCGUGAAUCAACUAUAUAUAGGGCAUCCAAUGUCUCUACCAUAAGCAGGAAUGACCAGCAGGCCAUUGUUUCUGCAUUGGCGAAUGGUUUUCCGCUGCACGCAACUAUUCUUCAGGGUACCAAACUGACUUUCCUAAGGUACUGUACUUCGUACGAACCCCCUGAUUUCUUUCAGGCUCUGAAAGUAAGAGCUCCUGAAGAUAUACCAUGUCAUGCUAUUGUGCUAGUAGGGGCUGUCAAGAAAAAGGGCAAGCUCUCUUACUAUUUCUUGAAUGCCUGGAAGCGGUUCUGUGCUCGUAGGAGUGAGGAUGGCACGUUAUUGGCCUAUGGAAUAGGAAAGGUAAAUGCUAAUAGGUUAUAUAGGAAUGUCAUCAAGGUAUCUUGCUUCAAGGAAGCUCCAAAUGAGAGGAGUUUCACGCAAAACAUGAAACUGAACACAGCAUUGCUUGUUGGGGACCUGCCUAAGAGGGAACCUACCUUCAGGUGAAUGCUGUCUGUUUGCUACUCUAGUUGUGUUUGCUACUGUAGUUGUCUGUAACUGAAAUCUCUGAAUUCAUGAGACUUGCUACUGUAGUUACUGAAAUCUCUGAAUUCAUGAGACUUGUACUGAAUGGGUGAGCACAUGACUAUGAAAUCUCUGAAUUCAUGAGACUUGUACUGAAUGGGUGAGCACAUGACUAUGUAGAGAACUUGAUCUUCAGGAAGAACUGAGCUAUGUUCCCUUCUGGCCCUGAAGAAUCAGGAUAGCUGACAUGUUUAUUCAUCGAUACAAAUUUGAUGUCUUCAAUUUUCAUUGCACUCUGUAUUGCUGGGAGGCAUUAACUGUUUGU
rnacentral:rRNA from 1 species